rnacentral:rRNA from 1 species
UACAGAGGGGGCAAGCGUUAUUCGGAAUUAUUGGGCGUAAAGGGCGCGUAGGCGGCUGGGCAAGUCAAAGGUGAAAUCCCUCGGCUCAACUGAGGAACUGCCUUUGAAACUGCCUGGCUUGAGGCCGGGAGGGGGUAGCGGAAUUCCCAGUGUAGCGGUGAAAUGCGUAGAUAUUGGGAGGAACACCAGUGGCGAAGGCGGCUACCUGGACCGGUUCUGACGCUGAUGCGCGAAAGCGUGGGUAGCAAACAGG